GCUGGUGUACGCUCAACGGGUAGAGUCGGUGCCAGCCUGUACAGGCUGAUCAUGUAUGCGGGUUCGACCCCCGCCACCAGCA
rnacentral:tRNA from 4 species